UCUCCGUUGGUGAACCAGCGGAGGGAUCAUUACCGAGUUUACAACUCCCAAACCCCUGUGAACAUACCAUUUGUUGCCUCGGCGGUGCCUGCUUCGGCAGCCCGCCAGAGGACCCAAACCCUUGAUUUUAUACAGUAUCUUCUGAGUAAAUGAUUAAAUAAAUCAAAACUUUCAGCAACGGAUCUCUUGGUUCUG
rnacentral:misc_RNA from 1 species